UCUAGUCUAAGCGUUUAGGCAGUUACGGUAGGCAAAUCCGCUGUAACGUUAAUGCUGAGGCGUGAGGGGGAAGGCCCUUGAGGCUGAAGUACAUGAUUCCAUGCUUCCAAGAAAAGCAUCUAGAGAGAGAAGUAGUGCCCGUACCGCAAACCGACACAGGUAGAUGAGGAGAGAAUCCUAAGGCCGGCGGAAAAAUUGCAGUUAAGGAACUAGGCAAAUUGACCCCGUAAGUUAGCGAGAAGGGGUGCCUGCGAGAGCAGGCCGCAGAGAAUAGGCCCAAGCAACUGUUUAGCAAAAACACAGGUCUCUGCUAAAGCGCAAGCUGAUGUAUAGGGGCUGACGCCUGCCCGGUGCUGGAAGGUUAAGGGGAACACUUAGCGCAAGCGAAGGUGUGAACUUAAGCCCCAGUAAACGACGGCCGUAACUAUAACGGUCCUAAGGUAGCGAAAUUCCUUGUCAGGUAAGUUCUGACCCGCACGAAUGGCGUAAUGACUUGGGCACUGUCUCAACUGCAAAUCCGGCGAAGUUGUAGUGCGAGUGAAGAUGCUCGCUACCCGCGAUUGGACGGAAAGACCCCGUAGAGCUUUACUGUAGCUUAGCAUUGAAUUCCGGUAUUGUCUGUACAGGAUAGGUGGGAGACUGGGAAACUAGGGCGUCAGCCUUGGUGGAGUCGUCCUUGGGAUACCACCCUGACAGUACUGGGGUUCUAACAGGACGCCAUGAAUCUGGUGACUGGACAUUGUUAGGUGGGCAGUUUGACUGGGGCGGUCGCCUCCUAAAAAGUAACGGAGGCGCCCAAAGGUUCCCUCAGAACGGUCGGAAAUCGUUCGUAGAGUGCAAAGGCAGAAGGGAGCCUGACUGCGAGACCUACAAGUCGAGCAGGGACGAAAGUCGGGCUUAGUGAUCCGGUGGUACCUCGUGGGAGGGCCAUCGCUCAACGGAUAAAAGCUACCUCGGGGAUAACAGGCUGAUCUCCCCCAAGAGUCCACAUCGACGGGGAGGUUUGGCACCUCGAUGUCGGCUCGUCGCAUCCUGGGGCUGUAGUAGGUCCCAAGGGUUGGGCUGUUCGCCCGUUAAAGCGGCACGCGAGCUGGGUUCAGUACGUCGUGAGACAGUUCGGUCCCUAUCCGUCGCGGGCGUAGGAAAUUUGAGAGGAGCUGUCCUUAGUACGAGAGGACCGGGAUGGACUGACCUCUGGUGCACCAGUUGUUCUGCCAAGAGCAUGGCUGGGUAGCUAAGUCGGGAAGGGAUAAACGCUGAAAGCAUCUAAGCGUGAAGCCUCCCUCAAGAUGAGAUUUCCCAUAGCAUAAGCUAGUAAGACCCCUUGAAGAACACGAGGUUGAUAGGUCAGAGGUGUAAGUGUGGUAACAUAUUUAGCUGACUGAUACUAAUAGGUCGAGGGCUUGACC
rnacentral:rRNA from 1 species